AUAUUUUCUUGGUAUUUUGACUAAAAUAAAGUGUACUAUUUGUUCUUAUCAGUUUAAUAUCCGAAAUAUAGAUCAUAUGUUUGCUUUGAUGCUAAAUUUAUUUAUCUAUAGGCAUCAAAUAUAGGUGUGUGACAUCGCAACGCACAAACAUU
rnacentral:snRNA from 1 species